rnacentral:tRNA from 1 species
AGUGGUUAAGCACUUGGCUGCUGACCAGGAGGUUUGUGGUUCAAACCCACCAGCCACUU